rnacentral:rRNA from 1 species
GACGAACGCUGGCGGCGUGCCUAACACAUGCAAGUCGAGCGAGUGAAACUCCUUCGGGAGUGAAGCUAGCGGCGGACGGGUGAGUAACACGUGGGCAACCUGCCUCAUAGAGGGGAAUAGCCUUUCGAAAGGAAGAUUAAUACCGCAUAAGAUUGUAGCUUCGCAUGAAGUAGCAAUUAAAGGAGCAAUCCGCUAUGAGAUGGGCCCGCGGCGCAUUAGCUAGUUGGUGAGGUAACGGCUCACCAAGGCGACGAUGCGUAGCCGACCUGAGAGGGUGAUCGGCCACAUUGGGACUGAGACACGGCCCAGACUCCUACGGGAGGCAGCAGUGGGGAAUAUUGCACAAUGGGGGAAACCCUGAUGCAGCAACGCCGCGUGAGUGAUGACGGCCUUCGGGUUGUAAAGCUCUGUCUUCAGGGACGAUAAUGACGGUACUUGAGGAGGAAGCCACGGCUAACUACGUGCCAGCCGCCGCCGUAA